UGGGGAAUUUUGGACAAUGGGCGAAAGCCUGAUCCAGCAAUGCCGCGUGUGUGAAGAAGGCCUUCGGGUUGUAAAGCACUUUUGUCCGGAAAGAAAUCCUUGGCUCUAAUACAGUCGGGGGAUGACGGUACCGGAAGAAUAAGCACCGGCUAACUACGUGCCAGCAGCCGCGGUAAUACGUAGGGUGCAAGCGUUAAUCGGAAUUACUGGGCGUAAAGCGUGCGCAGGCGGUUUGCUAAGACCGAUGUGAAAUCCCCGGGCUCAACCUGGGAACUGCAUUGGUGACUGGCAGGCUAGAGUAUGGCAGAGGGGGGUAGAAUUCCACGUGUAGCAGUGAAAUGCGUAGAGAUGUGGAGGAAUACCGAUGGCGAAGGCAGCCCCCUGGGCCAAUACUGACGCUCAUGCACGAAAGCGUGGGGAGCAAACAGGAUUAGAUACCCUGGUAGUCCACGCCCUAAACGAUGUCAACUAGUUGUUGGGGAUUCAUUUCCUUAGUAACGUAGCUAACGCGUGAAGUUGACCGCCUGGGGAGUACGUCGCAAGAUUAAAACUUAAAUGAAUUGACGGGGUCAUAGCUG
rnacentral:rRNA from 1 species